AAUCUCUAAGUGCCUAUGAUGCCCCCGUUUAGCUUUUGCUUUCAGUAACAGUCACUUUUAGUAGAGUGUUUGGUAAACAGAAAAAGCCUAGUGCUUCUGCUGUAGCAGAAUAUAGAAUAAGAUUCUGAGACCCAAAAGUAGAACACUUUUUUACUGCCCGUCAACACUUCAUCCAAUUGCAUUAUACCAUACAGCAGGGUUGAACAGAUCCUGAUAGGUCACAAAGAAACAUCACAAUUUUUUAAACCUGUUACCUAGGCAUCAGAUAGUUGCAAAUCAACGUUGUUAAGGAAUUUAUUGUUCGUUCU
rnacentral:lncRNA from 1 species